rnacentral:snoRNA from 1 species
ACCUCAUGAUGAGGACAUCUCCUGCACAACUCUUGAAUUCUCUCCCAAGCUUCUGAUAAAGUCUCCCUAUCAUGUUGCACAAAAUUAGUAAUUUCAUUUCUCAUCU